rnacentral:rRNA from 1 species
AUUGAACGCUGGCAGCAGGCCUAACACAUGCAAGUCGAGCGGAUGAAGGGAGCUUGCUCCUGGAUUCAGCGGCGGACGGGUGAGUAAUGCCUAGGAAUCUGCCUGGUAGUGGGGGAUAACGUCCGGAAACGGGCGCUAAUACCGCAUACGUCCUGAGGGAGAAAGUGGGGGAUCUUCGGACCUCACGCUAUCAGAUGAGCCUAGGUCGGAUUAGCUAGUUGGUUGGGUAAAGGCCUACCAAGGCGACGAUCCGUAACUGGUCUGAGAGGAUGAUCCGUCACACUGGAACUGAGACACGGUCCAGACUCCUACGGGAGGCAGCAGUGGGGAAUAUUGGACAAUGGGCGAAAGCCUGAUCCAGCCAUGCCGCGUGUGUGAAGAAGGUCUUCGGAUUGUAAAGCACUUUAAGUUGGGAGGAAGGGCAGUAAGUUAAUACCUUGCUGUUUUGACGUUACCAACAGAAUAAGCACCGGCUAACUUCGUG